rfam:Leuconostoc gelidum JB7, complete genome.
GGAGAGGUGUCCGAGUCUGGCCGAAGGAGCAUGGUUGGAAACUAUGUAAGCAAGGAAUUGUUUCGAGGGUUCGAAUCCCUUCCUCUCCA